GACGAACGCUGGCGGCGUGCUUAACACAUGCAAGUCGAACGGAAAGGCCCUGCUUUUGUGGGGUGCUCGAGUGGCGAACGGGUGAGUAACACGUGAGUAACCUGCCCUUGACUUUGGGAUAACUUCAGGAAACUGGGGCUAAUACCGGAUAGGAGCUCCUGCUGCAGGGUGGGGGUUGGAAAGUUUCGGCGGUUGGGGAUGGACUCGCGGCUUAUCAGCUUGUUGGUGGGGUAGUGGCUUACCAAGGCUUUGACGGGUAGCCGGCCUGAGAGGGUGACCGGCCACAUUGGGACUGAGAUACGGCCCAGACUCCUACGGGAGGCAGCAGUGGGGAAUAUUGCACAAUGGGCGGAAGCCUGAUGCAGCAACGCCGCGUGCGGGAUGACGGGCUUCGGGUUGUAAACCGAUUUCGCCUGUGACGAAGCGUGAGUGACGGUAAUGGGUAAAGAAGCACCGGCUAACUACGUG
rnacentral:rRNA from 1 species